GCAAGUCGAACGGUAACAGGCGAGUGCUUGCACUUGCGCUGACGAGUGGCGGACGGGUGAGUAACGCGUAGGAAUCUACCUGGUAGUGGGGGACAACUUGGGGAAACUCAAGCUAAUACCGCAUACGCCCUAUGGGGGAAAGCGUGGGAUCUUCGGACCACGCGCUAUCAGAUGAGCCUGCGUUAGAUUAGCUAGUUGGUGAGGUAAAGGCUCACCAAGGCGACGAUCUAUAGCUGGUCUGAGAGGAUGAUC
rnacentral:rRNA from 1 species